rnacentral:rRNA from 1 species
ACACAUGCAAGUCGAGGGGAAACGACAUCGAAAGCUUGCUUUUGAUGGGUGUCGACCGGCGCACGGGUGAGUAACGCGUAUCCAACCUGCCCACCACAUGGGGAUAACCUUGCGAAAGUAAGACUAAUACCCAAUGAUAUCUCUAGAAGACAUCUGAAAGAGAUUAAAGAUUUAUCGGUGAUGGAUGGGGAUGCGUCUGAUUAGCUUGUUGGCGGGGUAACGGCCCACCAAGGCGACGAUCAGUAGGGGUUCUGAGAGGAAGGUCCCCCACAUUGGAACUGAGACACGGUCCAAACUCCUACGGGAGGCAGCAGUGAGGAGUAUUGGUCAAUGGACGAGAGUCUGAACCAGCCAAGUAGCGUGCAGGAUGACGGCCCUAUGGGUUGUAAACUGCUUUUAUAAGGGAAUAAAGUGAGUCUCGUGAGACUUUUUGCAUGUACCUUAUGAAUAAGGACCGGCUAAUUCCGUGCCAGCAGCCGCGGUAAUACGGAAGGUCCGGGCGUUAUCCGGAUUUAUUGGGUUUAAAGGGAGCGUAGGCCGGAGAUUAAGCGUGUUGUGAAAUGUAGACGCUCAACGUCUGCACUGCAGCGCGAACUGGUUUCCUUGAGUACGCACAAAGUGGGCGGAAUUCGUGGUGUAGCGGUGAAAUGCUUAGAUAUCACGAAGAACUCCGAUUGCGAAGGCAGCUCACUGGAGCGCAACUGACGCUGAAGCUCGAAAGUGCGGGUAUCGAACAGGAUUAGAUACCCUGGUAGUCCGCACGGUAAACGAUGGAUGCCCGCUGUUGGUCUGAAUAGGUCAGCGGCCAAGCGAAAGCAUUAAGCAUCCCACCUGGGGAGUACGCCGGCAACGGUGAAACUCAAAGGAAUUGACGGGGGCCCGCACAAGCGGAGGAACAUGUGGUUUAAUUCGAUGAUACGCGAGGAACCUUACCCGGG